GGGAAAGCAGGCAGGCACAUUCGCAGCCCACUUGUCGUCCAUCCCUCAGGGUGGCUGGGGUCUCCCUACUCUUACCUUCCAGGUGAGGACGUGGGGUGUCCAUACUGUUGAAAGAAGAAGCACUGCCCCCCACCCAAGAUCCUGAUUUGUCUGCUGUGUGACCUCAGCCUUCUGGAGACAGAGCUCGAGGGAGGAGACUGGCGGGCAGCUGGGCAGCUGGGCAGCUGUGGACGGAGGCCGGGCACAACACAACCAGACUCUGCGAGAGUUGGUGCCAAGUCCAGCUCCAGGCAGCAGGACAAGGAUGCCGCCAAGCCUGGGGCUCGGGACAGGGAGGAAAGAUGCGGGCUGGCCCACUGUGUGCCCGGGGGUGAGGCACUGUGAAGAGGCUCCGGGUCGUGAGCGUCUGUACCAAUCGCCUGCCCUGAAGGGGCCUCACGCAACCGAGGUCAAGAAGUGUUAAGAAGGAGGUGUUGGGGCCACCACUUUACCCAGCCCGGGAAGGACUUAUCUUACCUCUCAGCUGGACCUUGCCUCAGCUCUGUGAAUCAGUCAGCAGAGGAAGACAGAUCUACAGAGAGCCAAGGGCUACAGGAGCAGUGCUCACACAAGUGGC
rnacentral:lncRNA from 1 species